AAUUAAAAAUUAAAAAGGCUAAAUCUAAAAAAUUGAGCAGUAUUCAUGUGAAAAGAAAAAAAAACAGAAAAGUCAGACAAAAGGUAGGCAGCGUGGAUCACAGGUAGGACAGUAAACACAAAGAUAAAAAAGCAAUAAUGAGCAAAACACAUGGAUGUGGUGAAAAUGAACAACUUCCAUGGGURUGGGAUGAUUAAGGAUUGAGAGAAGAGGAAAAGGCAGUUUUUUAUUAAACUUAGGGAAAAAAAGAAUUGUCUCUCACUCACACAAAAGGACUUGAUAAAAUAAAGCCUCACAAAGUCUACUUACAAAAUCUUGUCUAUAAAAAACCUUAAUAGGAUUGAAUCAGGAUCAAUUACAAUCAUCCUUUUCAACUGCUAACUCGCUCAUCAGGUAGCUUUAAUUACUGCUCUCAGCAAUAGUGGCACAAUGGUUUUAGGGCUCUAGGCUUCUUUUCGCACCCGCACACAGAUCUGAAAAGCUGAUCAAUGCAUUACACAUGCAUUCCUUCUCUUCUGCCCACCAAACCUAGAACAAAAAAAAUCAGAUCUACCAUUCAUGCAAAUGUAAUUAACUCUCUCAUUUGAUCCCAUCAUUGUCCCUCUGUCCAUGUUACCAAAGCUAAUCUUUUUUUUCCCCCAAGAUAUUAUCACAACACAGAACGCACUGAGGCAAACACAUCAUCUGGUUCACUAUUGUACAUGAUAAUUUUCCCAAUUCAGGAUCAUUUUUAAACAAUUAAAACUAGACAUAACUGACUGCAUGUGGAAAAAAUAAUAAGCACGCUCCUAAUUAUAUACAGUGGGGAUGUAUAGAAAGUUGCAUCAAGAACAUUAAUGUGUGUAUACUGUGGCUCCUAAUCCUUCAAGGUCUGUAAAUAUAAGUUUGACUGUAAAUUAGUUUCCCACUCACACUAUUCCAACCUAUGCACAUCUGUGCUCACUAUGGGGAGCUGUGAGUUAUCAGUGUAAUUCACUGAGAGUACAUCUGCUAGCUGGGCUGUGACCUCCACACUAGAGGAGGGAGUGGGUGUGCAGCUCUGCAGGGUCAUUGUUAAAUCUCUCUCACUCCUACGGGAAUCCGCUUCCUGCUGUUUGAGAGGAUGUGCAUGUGUGUGCGUAUAUUUCUGUGUUCUCUCCAGCACGAGUGAAGGUUUGUUACUGUGUGUGUCAUUGUUAAAUCUCUCU